rnacentral:piRNA from 1 species
UCCAGGAGGGAAAUGAAAUGACCUUGGCA